CCCUUAGAUGUUCUGGGCUGCACGCGCGCUACACUGUCGGAUUCAGCGAGUCAUAUCCUUAACCGAAAGGUUUGGGUAAUCUUUUGAAAGUCCGACGUGAUGGGGAUUGAUCAUUGCAAUUAUUGAUCAUGAACGAGGAAUUCCUAGUAAGCGCGAGUCAUCAGCUCGCGUUGAUUACGUCCCUGCCCUUUGUACACACCGCCCGUCGCUACUACCGAUUGAAUGGUUUAGUGAUAUCUUCGGAUUGGCGCCUACGCGGCUUCUCUGAGGCCACGCUGGAUGCCGAAAAGUUGCUCAAACUGUAUCAUUUAGAGGAAGUAAAAGUCGUAACA
rnacentral:rRNA from 1 species